AGCGUACACGGUGGAUGCCCUGGCAGUCAGAGGCGAUGAAGGACGUGCUAAUCUGCGAUAAGCGUCGGUAAGGUGAUAUGAACCGUUAUAACCGGCGAUUUCCGAAUGGGGAAACCCAGUGUGAUUCGUCACACUAUCAUUAACUGAAUCCAUAGGUUAAUGAGGCGAACCGGGGGAACUGAAACAUCUAAGUACCCCGAGGAAAAGAAAUCAACCGAGAUUCCCCCAGUAGCGGCGAGCGAACGGGGAGGAGCCCAGAGCCUGAAUCAGUGUGUGUGUUAGUGGAAGCGUCUGGAAAGGCGCGCGAUACAGGGUGACAGCCCCGUACACAAAAAUGCACAUGCUGUGAGCUCGAUGAGUAGGGCGGGACACGUGGUAUCCUGUCUGAAUAUGGGGGGACCAUCCUCCAAGGCUAAAUACUCCUGACUGACCGAUAGUGAACCAGUACCGUGAGGGAAAGGCGAAAAGAACCCCGGCGAGGGGAGUGAAAAAGAACCUGAAACCGUGUACGUACAAGCAGUGGGAGCACGCUUAGGCGUGUGACUGCGUACCUUUUGUAUAAUGGGUCAGCGACUUAUAUUCUGUAGCAAGGUUAACCGAAUAGGGGAGCCGAAGGGAAACCGAGUCUUAACUGGGCGUUAAGUUGCAGGGUAUAGACCCGAAACCCGGUGAUCUAGCCAUGGGCAGGUUGAAGGUUGGGUAACACUAACUGGAGGACCGAACCGACUAAUGUUGAAAAAUUAGCGGAUGACUUGUGGCUGGGGGUGAAAGGCCAAUCAAACCGGGAGAUAGCUGGUUCUCCCCGAAAGCUAUUUAGGUAGCGCCUCGUGAAUUCAUCUCCGGGGGUAGAGCACUGUUUCGGCAAGGGGGUCAUCCCGACUUACCAACCCGAUGCAAACUGCGAAUACCGGAGAAUGUUAUCACGGGAGACACACGGCGGGUGCUAACGUCCGUCGUGAAGAGGGAAACAACCCAGACCGCCAGCUAAGGUCCCAAAGUCAUGGUUAAGUGGGAAACGAUGUGGGAAGGCCCAGACAGCCAGGAUGUUGGCUUAGAAGCAGCCAUCAUUUAAAGAAAGCGUAAUAGCUCACUGGUCGAGUCGGCCUGCGCGGAAGAUGUAACGGGGCUAAACCAUGCACCGAAGCUGCGGCAGCGACGCUUAUGCGUUGUUGGGUAGGGGAGCGUUCUGUAAGCCUGUGAAGGUGUGCUGUGAGGCAUGCUGGAGGUAUCAGAAGUGCGAAUGCUGACAUAAGUAACGAUAAAGCGGGUGAAAAGCCCGCUCGCCGGAAGACCAAGGGUUCCUGUCCAACGUUAAUCGGGGCAGGGUGAGUCGACCCCUAAGGCGAGGCCGAAAGGCGUAGUCGAUGGGAAACAGGUUAAUAUUCCUGUACUUGGUGUUACUGCGAAGGGGGGACGGAGAAGGCUAUGUUGGCCGGGCGACGGUUGUCCCGGUUUAAGCGUGUAGGCUGGUUUUCCAGGCAAAUCCGGAAAAUCAAGGCUGAGGCGUGAUGACGAGGCACUACGGUGCUGAAGCAACAAAUGCCCUGCUUCCAGGAAAAGCCUCUAAGCAUCAGGUAACAUCAAAUCGUACCCCAAACCGACACAGGUGGUCAGGUAGAGAAUACCAAGGCGCUUGAGAGAACUCGGGUGAAGGAACUAGGCAAAAUGGUGCCGUAACUUCGGGAGAAGGCACGCUGAUAUGUAGGUGAAGCGACUUGCUCGUGGAGCUGAAAUCAGUCGAAGAUACCAGCUGGCUGCAACUGUUUAUUAAAAACACAGCACUGUGCAAACACGAAAGUGGACGUAUACGGUGUGACGCCUGCCCGGUGCCGGAAGGUUAAUUGAUGGGGUCAGCGCAAGCGAAGCUCUUGAUCGAAGCCCCGGUAAACGGCGGCCGUAACUAUAACGGUCCUAAGGUAGCGAAAUUCCUUGUCGGGUAAGUUCCGACCUGCACGAAUGGCGUAAUGAUGGCCAGGCUGUCUCCACCCGAGACUCAGUGAAAUUGAACUCGCUGUGAAGAUGCAGUGUACCCGCGGCAAGACGGAAAGACCCCGUGAACCUUUACUAUAGCUUGACACUGAACAUUGAGCCUUGAUGUGUAGGAUAGGUGGGAGGCUUAGAAGUGUGGACGCCAGUCUGCAUGGAGCCGACCUUGAAAUACCACCCUUUAAUGUUUGAUGUUCUAACGUUGACCCGUAAUCCGGGUUGCGGACAGUGUCUGGUGGGUAGUUUGACUGGGGCGGUCUCCUCCUAAAGAGUAACGGAGGAGCACGAAGGUUGGCUAAUCCUGGUCGGACAUCAGGAGGUUAGUGCAAUGGCAUAAGCCAGCUUGACUGCGAGCGUGACGGCGCGAGCAGGUGCGAAAGCAGGUCAUAGUGAUCCGGUGGUUCUGAAUGGAAGGGCCAUCGCUCAACGGAUAAAAGGUACUCCGGGGAUAACAGGCUGAUACCGCCCAAGAGUUCAUAUCGACGGCGGUGUUUGGCACCUCGAUGUCGGCUCAUCACAUCCUGGGGCUGAAGUAGGUCCCAAGGGUAUGGCUGUUCGCCAUUUAAAGUGGUACGCGAGCUGGGUUUAGAACGUCGUGAGACAGUUCGGUCCCUAUCUGCCGUGGGCGCUGGAGAACUGAGGGGGGCUGCUCCUAGUACGAGAGGACCGGAGUGGACGCAUCACUGGUGUUCGGGUUGUCAUGCCAAUGGCACUGCCCGGUAGCUAAAUGCGGAAGAGAUAAGUGCUGAAAGCAUCUAAGCACGAAACUUGCCCCGAGAUGAGUUCUCCCUGACUCCUUGA
rnacentral:rRNA from 1 species